rnacentral:rRNA from 1 species
AACGAACGCUGGCGGCAUGCCUAACACAUGCAAGUCGAACGAAGCCUUCGGGCUUAGUGGCGCACGGGUGCGUAACGCGUGGGAAUCUGCCCCUUGCUUCGGAAUAACAGUUAGAAAUGACUGCUAAUACCGGAUGAAGUCUUCGGACCAAAGAUUUAUCGGCAAGGGAUGAGCCCGCGUAGGAUUAGGUAGUUGGUGGGGUAAAGGCCUACCAAGCCGACGAUCCUUAGCUGGUCUGAGAGGAUGAUCAGCCACACUGGGACUGAGACACGGCCCAGACUCUUACGAGAGGCCGCAGGGGGGAAUAUUGGACGCUGGACGCAAGUCUGAGCCAGCAAGGCCGCGUGAGUGAUGAAGGCCUUAGGGUUGUAAAGCUCUUUUAACAGGGAUGAUAAUGACAGUACCUGGAGAAUAAGCGCCGGCUAACUCCGUG